GACGAACGCUGGCGGCGUGCUUAACACAUGCAAGUCGAACGGAAAGGCCCUGCUUUUGUGGGGUGCUCGAGUGGCGAACGGGUGAGUAACACGUGAGUAACCUGCCCUUGACUUUGGGAUAACUUCAGGAAACUGGGGCUAAUACCGGAUAGGAGCUCCUGCUGCAUGGUGGGGGUUGGAAAGUUUCGGCGGUUGGGGAUGGACUCGCGGCUUAUCAGCUUGUUGGUGGGGUAGUGGCUUACCAAGGCUUUGACGGGUAGCCGGCCUGAGAGGGUGACCGGCGACAUGGGGAAUGAGGUACGGCCCAGACUCGUACGGGAGGCAGGAGUGGGGAAUAUUGCACAAUGGGCGGAAGCCUGAUGCAGCAACGCCGCGUGCGGGAUGACGGCCUUCGGGUUGUAAACCGCUUUCGCCUGUGACGAAGCGUGAGUGACGGUAAUGGGUAAAGAAGCACCGGCUAACUACGU
rnacentral:rRNA from 1 species